UACGUAGGAGACUAGCGUUGUCCGGAAUUACUGGGUGUAAAGCGCGUGUAGGCGGCAUACCAAGUCUGUUGUGAAAUCGCCCGGCUCAACUGGGCGGGGUCAAUGGAAACUGGUAAGCUGGAGGACGGUAGAGGCGAGUGGAAUUCCCGGUGUAGUGGUGAAAUGCGUAGAGAUCGGGAGGAACACCUGUGGCGAAGGCGGCUCGCUGGGCCGAUACUGACGCUGAGGAGCGAAAGCGUGGGGAGCGAACAGG
rnacentral:rRNA from 1 species